GCCGAGGUGGCGAAAUUGGCAGACGCGUCAGACUCAAAAUCUGGUAGUGGCAACACUGUGAGGGUUCAAGUCCCUCCCUCGGUA
rnacentral:tRNA from 1 species